rnacentral:rRNA from 1 species
UGCUCCUUGCAAAUAUCCUAAAAUGUACCAGAUCCUGUCUGAUAUUGGAAGCUAAGUAGGGUCAGCCCUGGUUAGUACUUGGAUGGGAGACCUCCAAUGAAUCCCAAGUGCUGUAUUUC